rnacentral:rRNA from 1 species
UCCCAUCUAGGCACUCUGACGCAGCAACGCCGUGUGGGGGAUGAAUCUUUAUGGAGUGUAAACCCCUGUAAGCAGGGACGAAAGUUAUGUAUCUUUACGGGUGCAUAUUUGACGGUACCUGCAGAGUAAGCUCCGGCUAACUCCGUGCCAGCAGCCGCGGUAAUACGGGGGGAGCGAGCGUUGUCCGGAAUUACUGGGCGUAAAGGGCGUGUAGGCGGAUUGAUAAGUCAGAUGUAAAAGCCCCCGGCUUAACCGGGGAGGGUCAUUUGAAACUGUCGGUCUUGAGUACGAGAGAGGGUAGUGGAAUUCCCAGUGUAGCGGUGAAAUGUGUAGAUAUUGGGAAGAACACCAGUAGCGAAGGCGGCUACCUGGCUCGUUACUGACGCUAAGGCGCGAAAGCGUGGGGAGCAAACAGGAUUAGAUACCCUGGUAGUCCACGCUGUAAACGAUGAGCACUAGGUGUUGGGUCCGUGUUCGGACUCGGUGCCGCAGCUAACGCAUUAAGUGCUCCGCCUGGGGAGUACGAUCGCAAGGUUGAAACUCAAAGGAAUUGACGGGGGCCCGCACAAGCGGUGGAGCAUGUGGUUUAAUUCGAUGCAACGCGAAGAACCUUACCGGGGUUUGACAUUAUAGUGAAGUUUGUAGAGAUGCAAAUGCCCUUCGGGGCACUAUAACAGGUGCUGCAUGGCUGUCGUCAGCUCGUGUCGUGAGAUGUUGGGUUAAGUCCCGCAACGAGCGCAACCCUUGCCCUUAGUUGCCAGCGGGUAAUGCUGGGUACUCUAGGGGGACAGUCGGCGAUAAGCCGGAGGAAGGUGGGAUGACGUCAAGUCCUCAUGGCCCUUACAUCCCGGGCUAAACACGUGCUACAAUGGCGGUACAACGAGUUGCGAUACCGUGAGGUGGAGCCAAUCUUUAAAAACCGGUCUCAGUUCGAUGCAGUCUGCACUCGACUGCAUGAAGUGAAUCCGCUAGUAUCCGCGAUCAGCCACGCCCGGUGAAUACGUUCCCGGCUUGACACACCGCCCGUCACGCAUGAGUCCGCAGUACCGAAGCCGGGUGCUAAACUCUUGGGGGAGAGACUUU